UACGUAGGGACCAAGCGUUGUUCGGAUUUACUGGGCGUAAAGGGCGCGUAGGCGGCGUGACAAGUCACUUGUGAAAUCUCUGGGCUUAACCCAGAACGGCCAAGUGAAACUGUUGUGCUAGAGUGCAGAAGGGGCAAUCGGAAUUCUCGGUGUAGCGGUGAAAUGUGUAGAUAUCGAGAGGAACACCAGAGGUGAAGACGGGUUGCUGGGCUGACACUGACGCUGAGGCGCGAAAGCCAGGGGAGCAAACGGG
rnacentral:rRNA from 1 species